rnacentral:lncRNA from 1 species
CUUGUAGUGUGGUUCUAGGUGGAAGCUAGCUAUAGUCUUGCAGACCAGCCUAGGAGCUAUUAGAUGAGCAGGAUGGGAGGAGAAGUGACUCAACUGUGGUGAAAGGACGACUCCUGCUGGCUCAAGCUGGGUAAGACCCCAUAAGUCUAGCCCAGGUGAGGACAGGAUCCUCCCCACAUCUCUCUCCCUUGCAUUGUGGAGCCACACUUUAAUGCUUCCCCACCUCUGAUGCCAUGGCCGGGCUGCUAUUUGUCACAUCAA